rnacentral:rRNA from 1 species
AGAAUCAACGCUGGCGGCGUGCCUAACACAUGCAAGUCGAACGAGAAAGUGGAGCAAUCCAUGAGUAAAGUGGCGCACGGGUGAGUAACACGUGACUAACCUACCUUUUAGUGGGGGAUAACCUAGGGAAACCUGGGCUAAUACCGCAUAAUACCUACGGGUCAAAGCAGCAAUGCGCUGGAAGAGGGGGUCGCGGCCGAUUAGCUAGUUGGCGGGGUAAUGGCCCACCAAGGCAGUGAUCGGUAUCCGGCCUGAGAGGGCGCACGGACACACUGGAACUGAAACACGGUCCAGACUCCUACGGGAGGCAGCAGUGGGAAUUUUGCGCAAUGGGGGAAACCCUGACGCAGCAACGCCGCGUGGAGGAUGAAGCCCCUUGGGGCGUAAACUCCUUUCGAUCGGGAAGAUAAUGACGGUACCGGAAGAAGAAGCCCCGGCUAACUUCGUGCCAGCAGCCGC